CAGUAGCCGCGGGAAUACGAAGGGUGCAAGCGUUACUCGGAAUUACUGGGCGUAAAGCGUGCGUAGGUGGUGGUUUAAGUCCGUUGUGAAAGCCCUGGGCUCAACCUGGGAAUUGCAGUGGAUACUGGGUCACUAGAGUGUGGUAGAGGAUAGUGGAAUUUCCGGUGUAGCAGUGAAAUGCGUAGAGAUCGGAAGGAACAUCUGUGGCGAAGGCGACUAUCUGGACCAACACUGACACUGAGGCACGAAAGCGUGGGGAGCAAACAGGAUUAGAUACCCCUGUAGUCCCUGUCUCUUAUAC
rnacentral:rRNA from 1 species